rnacentral:rRNA from 1 species
UACGGGGGGGGCAAGCGUUGUUCGGAAUUACUGGGCGUAAAGGGCUCGUAGGUGGCCAACUAAGUCAGACGUGAAAUCCCUCGGCUCAACCGGGGAACUGCGUCUGAUACUGGAUGGCUUGAGUUUGGGAGAGGGACGCGGAAUUCCAGGUGUAGCGGUGAAAUGCGUAGAUAUCUGGAGGAACACCGGUGGCGAAGGCGGCAGCCUGGACCGACACUGACGCUGAGGAGCGAAAGCCAGGGGAGCAAACGGG